rnacentral:rRNA from 1 species
GAUGAACGCUGGCGGCGUGCCUAAUACAUGCAAGUCGAGCGAACGGACGAGAAGCUUGCUUCUCUGAUGUUAGCGGCGGACGGGUGAGUAACACGUGGAUAACCUACCUAUAAGACUGGGAUAACUUCGGGAAACCGUAGCUAAUACCGGAUAAUAUUUUGAACCGCAUGGUUCAAAAGUGAAAGACGGUCUUGCUGUCACUUAUAGAUGGAUCCGCGCUGCAUUAGCUAGUUGGUAAGGUAACGGCUUACCAAGGCAACGAUGCAUAGCCGACCUGAGAGGGUGAUCGGCCACACUGGAGCUGAGACGCGGUCCAGACUCCUACGGGAGGCAGCAGUAGGGAAUCUUCCGCAAUGGGCGAAAGCCUGACGGAGCAACGCCGCGUGAGUUAUGAAGGUCUUCGGAUCGUAAUACUCUGUUAUUAGGGAAGAACAUAUGUGUAAGUAACUGUGCACAUCUUGACGGUACCUAAUCAGAAAGCCACGGCUAACUACGUG